rnacentral:lncRNA from 1 species
GGUAAUGCAUAUGCAGCAAGGACUAAAAGCUUCAUAUGCCGACCUGUUUCAGAUGUUGAUCGAGAAAUGUGCGAUCAGACUCGAGAUGGUUUAUGAUUUUGGCGAGACGUCUGUUUGUGCAGGUUGAGUACCUGGUCGAGGAAUGCAGCUCAGAGAACCGGGCCAAGAACGACUGCGUCCAUGUUCAGGUGGCCAAGCAGAUCCUGCCGCGGGGAGGCGACAUCGUGUUCGGCGUCGCGCACCUGCAUUCGGGUGGCAUCGCCGCUUCUCUGCACGGCGAGGUAGCUGCCACCACGAAUUCGAUCGAUCUCUUUGCAUUUCUCUGCUGCAGAGCUCAGUAUUUAUCAUCGUCUGAAACUUUGCACAAUCCAAGUAGCAAGUAACGAACAAUGGAUCUGAAACAGUUAGUUGCUAGCCUGGAUGCUGAUGAACUGCAUGCACUGGACUCUGUCACGCAGGACGGCCGGCUGCUGUGCGAAUCGACGGCAACCUACGGCGAUGGCCAGGAGGCCGGGAACGAGGCGGACUACAUCGUCGGCAUGUCGACGUGCUACCCGAAGCCGGGCGCCGUGACGGUGCGCGACGGCGAGGUCCUGACCGUGGUGUCCAAAUACAGCAGCCACCAGCAGCACACCGGAGUGAUGGGCCUCGUCUACAUCCUCGUCGCCGAGCACGGGCAGCCGCAGCCGCAGCAGCUGCCGGC